AUUCCUAAAUUAGGAGUUGCUGCGGAUCGAACCGGAUGUUUCUUGAUCCGUUUUAACGGAGCAGCUACGAUCAUCUGCAAUUCCGGAGCAGGGGAAGAAUGCAUGCAGCAGGCGACAAAUUGGGGUUAUCUCCGACCGGGACAGAGGCAAGGAUAGACUUUCCUCUUGCGGCGUUGCAGAUUUUCGUCCAG